AGUGAACGCUGGCGGUAGGCCUAACACAUGCAAGUCGAACGAGUGGCGGAGGGGUGAGGAAUACAUCGGAAUCUGCUCUGUCGUGGGGGAUAACGUAGGGAAAAUUGAGCUAAUACCGCAUACGAUUGAGUGAGCAGAUGUCGGAUUAGCUAGUUGGCGGGGUAAAGGCGCACCAAGGAGACGAUCCGUAGCUGGUGUGAGAGGAUGAACAGCUCCACUGGAACUGAGACACGGUCCAGACUCCUACGGGAGGCAGCAGUGGGGAAUAUUGGACAAUGGGCGCAAGCCUGAUCCAGCCAUGCCGAGUGUAUGAAGAAGGCCUUCGUGUUGUAAAGUACUUUCAGCGGGGAGGCGUUACCCGCAGAAGAAGCACCGGCUAACUCCGUGCCAGCCGCCGCGGUAAUUC
rnacentral:rRNA from 1 species